GAAUGCCUCACUCGCUUGCUGCGGUGAACAGCUCGGACAUUGUGUGAAUCUGAGUUUCUGUUACCAUUGCCAUGCAUUGUACGGCUGAGAGACUGCAACGGCUAAAGAUAAAAAUCUAAUUUUGUAUUCUUCUGAAGAAACAAAGUCACCUACAUCUUUGAUGCCCUGUGGGAGACCACAGCUGGAUGAUCUGGGCUUAGAGGACAGCAGGGCCUACAAAAAGACACCGUUAUCACAGCGAUCACUUUCAUGGAAGAUUAACAGGCA